rnacentral:rRNA from 1 species
AUUGAACGCUGGCGGCAGGCCUAACACCUGCAAGUCGAACGAGUGGCGGACGGGUGAGUAAUGUCUGGGAAACUGACUGAUGGAGGGGGAUAACUACUGGAAACGGUAGCUACUACCGCAUACCAACAGAUUUGCCGAGAGUGGCUUAGCUUGUUGGUGGGGUAACGGCUCACCCAGGCGACGAUCCCUAGCUGGUCUGAGAGGAUGACCAGCCACACUGGAACUGAGCACAGGUCCAGACUCCGACGGGAGGCAGCAGUGGGGAAUAUUGCACAAUGGGCGCAAGCCUGAUGCAGCCAUGCCGCGUGUAUGAAGAAGGCCUUCGGGUUGUAAAGUACUUUCAGCGGGGAGGCGUUACCCGCAGAAGAAGCACCGGCUAACUCCGUGCCAGCAGCCGCGGUAAUUC